CCGUCCCUGGCAGUGUUUCAAGAGGUGUCUGGAUGAGGAGCUACGAGAUAUGGGUUAGUUUGUGGUAGCAGUGGUAAUAAGAAGAUGGUUGAACAGGAUGAUCUUACAGGUAGUUUCCAACCUUUGUGAUUCUAUGAUUCUAUCAUCCUUUUUGUAUUGAGCACAAUAGAGGAAGAAAAAGACUUAAGUGACUGGGGGAAACUGAUAGUAUGGGAAUAGGAUGAGGGACUUGGAAGGAUUUGAAGAAUCCUCCUGCUGAGGCUGGGAGGAGUUGCAAGGCAGCUGGUCUUUGGGAAUCAGAUUAUGAAUCCUUAAGCGCUGGAUUAUUUUUUUCCACUGGUAAAAGAUCAAGUACAUAGGGCUUUUCAAGGCAGUUUCUAAUAAGAGAGCAUUUCUUUAUCCACAGCCUUUUCUGUAUGAGAUUGAUUUUAUGCUGGUACAUGCAAGUCAUAUUCAAAAUAAGUAAAACUAAUCCAUAUCUACACCUACUUUAUUUUAUUAUGAGCAUAAGAUGCAUAUCACCAUUUCAUAAGAUGAUGAUACAGAAAUUAGUUGAUAGAAAUUGGUCUUAGACUUGAAGCUUUUCUUUGCUAAUAUAUAGUAGAGAUUUUUGUUGAUUUUAGCAUGAAAGAAAAGAUUUCUGGAAUCCUCUUAGGCUUCCUAGCCACUAAUGUGCUUUUUUUAUGAGUUAAGUCUUUAAAAUAAGUGUGCAGUUGAGGCAUGUCAUUAGAUUUCAAUUAAAGAAACAGUAGCUAUAAGCAAUUCUUUAGAGGAAAUUUUGCUUUAAUAAAAUAUUCCUUUCUAUAAAAUAGAAGGAAAUGGUCUUUCCACCCCCUUUUGGUUUGUAUAAGUCAGUUCAAGUUUUUCUGUCCUUACUCUUUUUCUUCUUUCAGUGCAGAAGGAAUGGUAUUGUUUCAAUACUCUUUUCCUUUAAGCAUUAAUUCCAGCUUUCCUUCUGCUUCUACAGUUCUUAUUUCAAAAUUCAUGUCCUGGUAGUUUUUUUUUUUCAGUCCCUUAAUAAAUGGCUUUGAAUGGAAGAGACUCCUGGAGGAUGAGAGGGAGGAUGGAGGGCAGUCAGUAAUGUUCGUUUCAAAGAACUGCAGUCUUUAGCAUGAUGUUGCUUGGCAACCCAUCUUCCACUUUGCCUUUGUUGAAUAAAAGAGGAGAGCAAAGCUGUGGUUUCUAUUGAUUCAUUCACUGAAGCUGGGAAUCUGGGCAUCCUGUAGCUAUAGCAACGUGAGCCAUAGGUGUCGCUUCCUCUACUGUCCUGAUUCUGCAGGUACAGAAUCCCUGGAGAGGGAUAGGUAAACUUUUUUGGGAGGGAGAUGAUACUCUUUACUACUUUUUUUUUUUUUUCAGAUUUUUACCAAUAUUAGAAAGAUGGUCUAGUAAAUAUAAUUGAGUGAAAUAAUAUAAUUAGAUGAAAUAAAUUAGAUUCUUAUAGAAAAAUAGAAAUAAUUUACACUUCCCUUUCUGAGCUAGGUUUGACUAUCUUGAAUCAAUUCUUAAAUGCAUCUGCAGCAAUUUUUAGAAAGGCUCAUAAAUCAGGAAACUCCAGUUUAACAACCUCAGCCUUUAUCUUAACAGUCAUUAGAGGAGGAGUGAGCAGCUCUGCAAACAUUGCAGUUUAAACAGCGCUUAUAUUUAUUGAAGAACUUGUUGAAAGUUGAAAUUGUUCUGUAAGCAUCGUCUUGGAACACUUUGGAUAGGCUGCUGGUUCUUAGCAAGCGUGUGGUGAACAGGUCACCAGUUGGUGUGUUCCCUAUGCAAUAAGCAGGAAAAAAAUCCAUCAAGAAAUACUUGUCUGCUUGUGACUGUGCCACUUCUUACAGUCAGAUCACUGCUGUGUCAGCUCAGGCUCUUUACAGCUGUGGGUCUGAUUUUGCUGUGGUUUUUUUACCUUUUGGUUAAUUUGUAAAGAAAUUGACUUUUUUGGACUGUUAUUUUAAUAAGUGUGGGGUUUUUUUGCUCUGCCAAAACUCCAGUUUUGGUGCCUAUGUGAGAUAGUAUUUGCUCCUCUUCUAGCAGAGUGACCGAUCUGGAUGUGGGUUUGGUUUGAAGUACUGUUCUUGAAAGUAGUAAGCAGCCUCUUCUUGCAGCCUUUACUGGGGAAAGUAACAGAUGUAAAAACCUUUACUAGCACUUGAACUUUGGAAUAGCUUGGCCCUGGGGCCGCACUGAGUUGCAGGUGGCUGCUGCAGCUCCAGCCUCAGCUUUCAGAGGUGGAAGGAAGGACUGAACGUGCUCCACCAUUUCUAACACGUAACCUGGGGCAGCUCUGGCCAAAGUGGGAGGGAGAAGGCGCUGCCGGCCAGAACGGUUCCCUCGUGCCCAGCUGCUCUCGGCGUGUGGUCGCUGGAGCCGGUGCCACAGCUGUGCCCGCCGCGGGCUGAGCCGAAACGCUGCGGGCCCCGUUCUGCACCUGGGGAACUUGGCAACAAAUUUAACUCGUGCAGCCCUCCCUUUUCCUCAAAAUCCGCGUGCUUUCAGCGAGCAGCGCCGUUCCCUCUGUCCGUGCGCGCAGCGGGCCGUCCCUUCUCUCGAGCUCUGAUCUCGGCUCCGGCGUUUUGUGCCGUCUCCCGGCAACGUGCGCGGGCAGCGCUCGGCCGCGCGCGGUGCAGCACGGCGGGGAUUGGCGAAAGGAUUGGCGAAAGCUCGCGGCGCCGCUCUGCCGCGCUUCCACCGCGGUCCGCCCGUUACCGCGCGCGGCGGGUAGCCCGCAAUGCGCGGGUAUAACGCUCCUCCGGCAGCGGCGCGCGGAGGCGGCUGAAGGGAGGAUCCGCGCGCUUCCCGCCGCCGCCUCGCGCACCUGGCCGCCAGGUGAGGCUGAGGGCGGGGCGGCGCGCAGGCGCAGGGCGGCGCGCACCUGGCUGCCGCCGAGCGGAAGGCGCCGCCACAGCCUCCGUGCGCCGUGGGCGACCUCCGGCCGGGGCGAACGCGGCUCUUCCCUCCGCCGGCAGCCGCUCGCCCGGGCGGCCCUUCUCCCGCCGAACCAGGUAUUAUGUUUUCAAGAUAUGCUGUAAAAUAGUAUUGAAGAACAUCAUUCAGGGAAGCUUUUGUUUUGUGAUAAACUUUUAGAACUAGAAUGGCUUUGAAAAUAAUGCCUAAACUAUUCAAGAAAUUAUUUUUUCACUGGAAACUUUGGAAAUUUAGCAUUAUUGUGUUAGUCUUUAUAGUAUUUUUAUUUUUACUGCAACGAGAAGUUGGUGUCCAAGAUUUUAGAGAUGAAGGAGGGAUUGAGCCAGUUGUCAGAAAGAAAAGUCAUGUAUUAGGUCUUGUGCUAAAUGCUAUGAACAAUAUCAAUGGUGCAAAGCCAAAAAUGCAGAUAAAAGCACCUGUAAGGCAAACUAAGGUUCCUGGAGAGAGACACUGUUUGCCAGGACACUACACUACGAUGGAACUAAAACCCUUUCUAGAUCGACCCCUUCAAGAUCCUAACGCUCCCGGAGCUUCUGGUAAAGCAUUUAAAACCAUCAACCUAAAUCCAGAAGAGCAGAAAGAAAAAGAGCGUGGAGAAGAAAAACACUGUUUCAAUGCAUUUGCAAGUGAUAGGAUUUCGUUACAUCGGGAUCUUGGACCGGACACUCGACCUCCUGAAUGCAUUGAACAAAAGUUCAAGCGUUGCCCGCCAUUGCCAACCACAAGUGUUAUAAUAGUUUUUCAUAAUGAAGCAUGGUCUACUCUGCUCAGAACUGUUCACAGCGUGAUGUACACUUCUCCUGCCAUACUGCUAAAGGAAAUUAUUUUGGUGGAUGAUGCCAGUGUUGACGAAUACUUGCAUGAUAAACUCGAUGAAUACGUGAAGCAAUUUCAGAUUGUUAAAGUUGUCCGUCAAAAGGAAAGGAAAGGUCUAAUCACUGCACGGUUGCUGGGAGCUUCAGUAGCAACAGGAGAGACCCUCACCUUUCUGGAUGCUCACUGUGAAUGCUUUUAUGGCUGGUUAGAACCAUUGUUGGCAAGAAUAGCUGAGAACUCUGUUGCUGUUGUAAGCCCUGAUAUUGCUUCUAUAGAUCUCAAUACUUUUGAAUUUAGUAAGCCAUCUCCUUAUGGGCAUAACCACAAUAGAGGAAAUUUUGACUGGAGUUUGUCAUUUGGAUGGGAGUCUCUUCCUAAAUAUGAAAAUAAAAGAAGAAAAGAUGAAACCUAUCCAAUCAGAACACCUACUUUUGCUGGAGGUCUCUUUUCAAUAUCAAAAAAGUAUUUUGAACACAUUGGAAGCUAUGAUGAUGAAAUGGAAAUAUGGGGAGGUGAAAAUAUAGAAAUGUCUUUCAGAGUAUGGCAAUGUGGUGGACAGUUGGAGAUCAUGCCUUGCUCUGUUGUUGGCCAUGUCUUUCGCAGCAAGAGUCCCCAUACUUUCCCAAAAGGUACUCAAGUAAUCACACGUAAUCAAGUCCGCCUCGCAGAAGUCUGGAUGGAUGAAUAUAAAGAAAUUUUUUACCGAAGAAACACAGAGGCAGCAAAAAUUGUGAAACAAAAAACAUUUGGAGACAUCUCAAAACGACUCGACUUAAGGCAGCGUUUGCAGUGUAAGAAUUUUACCUGGUAUCUGAAUAAUGUUUAUCCAGAAGUAUAUGUUCCAGACCUAAAUCCUUUGUUUUCUGGAUAUCUAAAAAAUGUAGGUAACCACAUGUGUCUGGAUGUUGGUGAAAACAACCAUGGUGGCAAACCAUUGAUUAUGUAUUCUUGUCAUGGACUUGGAGGAAAUCAGUACUUUGAGUAUUCUGCACAUCAUGAAAUUCGUCAUAACAUUCAGAAGGAGCUUUGUCUGCAUGCUUCUAAAGGACCUGUGCAGCUUCGUGAAUGUAGCUACAAAGGCCAGAAAAUCUUUGCCUUUGGAGAAGAGCAAUGGCAGCAUCAAAAGGGGUCAGAAGCAGAUGCUCUCAUUGGUAUAACUUACUACAUCAACAUCUUUCUUGAGAAAGGAGCUGCAGGUGUUGAAGAAGGCUUGAUUUCAGGCACAGACAACUCAGGCUUACUCCUGGCAGGAUGAAGCAGAUCCUAGAUGUGCUUUGAGGGCGGGUGGCUCAAGGUAGCUCCUGCUCUCCCACCAAGAGGCCCUGCUGACUUCUGAUUCUUUGUGACUCUGCCUGCACACAGCACUACUACCUGCACUGGGACUUCACUAGCUCAGCAUACCCUCAGGAGUACCUGCCAAUCUACGUAAAUUGUCUGUUGUUAACUGAUGUUAUACUAGAGCACAGGCCUGGGAGUUAAUUCAGUGAUACUGAGAAUGACUUUGCGGUUGAUGUAUGCAAAGAAAAGACAAGGUAGCGUUGCUUCAAGGUAAAAACUUCUUGUUUUUACCCUGCGCUUUUGGAUGAGUCUUUAAUGCUUGCCCGCAUACGACUGCUGUUGCAAAUCAACAUUUCUUCUUUGCAGGAAGUUCAUACUGGUUUUAAGACAUUUCAAGCAACAGAAUUCAUUUUAUGAGCUAACAUGACCAAACAUGUAGUGCACAGGCAUAUGCUUUCCCAUCCUUGCUCUGGGGAUAUCUUCAUUUCAUAUUUUCUGUAUUUUUUUCUCCUAUAUCUUGUUCUCUUUUGCCCUUCAGAAAAAAAAAAAAAUGUCCUUAUCAGUAUAUCUCUUACCUCCUUACCUCUCUUCCUCUAAAUUGGCCUUUCUGUCUUCUCACUCACCCCAGGGUAUAUCUGCCCAUGCAGAUGGGUUAUCCUGACCCUUGUUGUAUACAGUGGUUUAAUUUGUACUUUCCACCAUUUUUUCUGCCAGUAAAGAAAAGCUAAUCCAGUCUUCAUGGCUUAAUGCAAAUGGGCACAGUUAGAGAUGAACUACGUGUAAGACAAAUUUAUUUGACCUCGUUCUAUUCUUCUCAAAAUUCAUAAAAUAACUCAAAAAAACUGAAGUGUAACAAUGAAAAAUGACAGUGAUUUAAUAAGUAAAUGGAGUUGUGCUAAACCUGGGUGAGGGAUUAUCAUCUUCUCAACUGAGAAUAAAUACAGAGGAUAGUGAACAUGGUUCUCCAGGCAGUGAGACCUUCUGCAUACUGGAUGUUCUCCUAACAGAGAAUAUACAACAGUAGAGCAGUACGCAUCUUUUUUUUUUUUCCCUACUAUAAAAGUAACUCUGUUUUUGUAAAAGGGUACUUUUCAUUUAUUGUUUAUAUUAGGAAAAACAAACUGCAAAUGUAGUUUCCUUAGGUGAUGUUUUUUCUGCUUUCUUUAAUCUAGAUAUUUCUCUUGUACUAGGCUGUGCCGUAUCAAACAUGACACUCUUCCUCUGGAUCUACAGGCAUCAAGAGAUAGGAGGAUCCCCUUCCACAUCUGCAACCCAUAGGGGUAGUUUUCCUUCCCAUUUGUUUGUGGGUACAGCAAAGGAAGGCCUAUAGAGAGACCCUAUGGGGUCCAUUCCUGAUUACUGUUUAUUCAGAGCCAGUGAGGGAGAUGACAUUUUUUUUUACCACAGUUCUAAUUUGUCUGCGUGCAAAUGUUUAGUGAAAAAUAAAAUCAACUCUUGCAGGGUAAAGGACAGAUAGCACAGAGGACACUACUGUUGCACUUACAUAAAGUUGUUUCUAAUGAAAAGCCUUACUGUAAAACAAACUUUUUCCCAGACACUAAGAUUCAGGAAGGAAGGAAGAAAAAAAAUGAAAAGACUAAGGCUGGAAAACAUUGAGAUAUUUCAUGAAUCAGAUGUUCUUAUUGUAAGUAAAAUUUUUUAUAUCAGCCAUUAGCAUGGCAGAAAGUUCCCAAGGUUAUUACAGCUUUUCUCCUUAAGAACUAUACUCUGAAAUAUUUAUUAUCAACCAAAUAAAAAGCUACCUCUGAUGUAGGAGGAAGAAGAGACAGCAAAAAGGAAGCAAUUACGAAGAACUUGAGCAUGUGUUCCUUUGGACAUCUUUACAACUAAACACUGCUUAUUUAUCACUUCAAAAGCUCAGAGUGAGGGUACCUACUUUGCUGAAGGAGUAGCCCUGGCAAGGAGUUUCAACUGACAGAACUCAACUAAUGAAAGAAGAUAAGCGGAGGAGUAAGACUGCCAGUUGCUAGUGUCAUUGGCAAACUAAAAUCUCGCUGCUCAACAGAUGUGCAGUACUUUAUACCCAACCACUGACUGAUCACCUUAGAAAUCUACAGGCUUUCCUUUCUGCAUUCAUUUAGAAGUCAAGUGAACAGCAAAACAGUUCCUUCUGGAAGUCAGCCAAGGGAUCUGCUCAGAGUCACAGCUCACUUCCCACUUGAUGCUCUGAAGAUCCUGUGAUGUUUAGAGGUAUAAUCUCUAAAUAGCAAUAAAUCAUUAACUCCAGCCUUUUACUUCCAGCCUGUCAAAAUGUCUGUCUUUUAUUUGCCUCUCUACUGCGUGGUUUUAUGUUUGUGGGGCUUUGUUCAUAAAAACAUUCAAUUGUUAUCAAUUAUAUAAGAAUCCAUUUUUCUAUUCAAAUUAAAAAAAUAGGAGAGAAUGAAAAAUAAUUAUAGCAGUAAAGGUCAUAUGCACUGCUUCAGGUAUUCAGACAGACAGGUUACAAACACCGUUCAUUCUAGUGGAAAAAGGCAAAGAGAUUUGCAGUGUUAUUUUGCUUUGCACCUACACAGUACUCUCUGACAAAGCACAAGAAAUAGGAGCUGUGGAGCCCAGCAGUUCAGCCACAGUUCAACUUUGUUUACUUUCUGAAAACAAACCCAAAAUACAGAUAACAUAUGCCAUCAUACCGGAAGUUUUUCAUUCACUAAACAAAAUAACAAAACCUGAGAUUUUGCUAGCAAAUUGAAAGACGCAGAAUGGAUGCUUCAAAAAAUGGAAUCCCCGUCUCUUCUCAAAUACAGUUUCCUUCCUCUACUCUGCUAAAUUAAAAGGACAGCUGCAAAACUACCAUUGAGCUGAACUGAUAAGGCAAGUUAAUUUGUCUGGUUUUUAUUCCUUAACAGACAACUUUUGGUGAAAUACUAAAGAUGAAUGACUGCAUAAAUUGGUACACUAAAAACAUUUUCUGUACUGCUGUUCCCUACUUUUUGCCAAAUAUAGUCAAACUGGCAAAGAAAAUAAGGUGUUUUAGCUUUCUCUACUAAAAUGUUAUCAUUCCUUUGUCUAAAUAGGGCACUCUGCCAGGGCUCAGAGGCAGUUCCAGAGUCUAAUUUCAGACACAGUUCCAGUGUCUCUCUGCCUUUGUCAUCUUCUCUGUAAAAAAACAAGCAAACAACCGCAUCCCUGUAAAACACUUUAAGGUACACAUUAGCAAGAGCUACAUCAGUGCUUCAUAAUAUCAAAAAAUAUGUAUCUUCAGAAAAAUAAAGAAUGCAAUUGCUCUCACUGAAACUAGAGUUGAAAGUAGUUUUGUUUAAAAGAUGCACACAUACAACUCUGACUCUGCUCAUGAGAAUACAUAAGGCAAGGCUCAA